AUUGAACGCUGGCGGCAGGCCUAACACAUGCAAGUCGAGCGGAUGAAGGGAGCUUGCUUCUGGAUUCAGCGGCGGACGGGUGAGUAAUGCCUAGGAAUCUGCCUGGUAGUGGGGGACAACGUUUCGAAAGGAACGCUAAUACCGCAUACGUCCUACGGGAGAAAGCAGGGGACCUUCGGGCCUUGCGCUAUCAGAUGAGCCUAGGUCGGAUUAGCUAGUUGGUGAGGUAAUGGCUCACCAAGGCGACGAUCCGUAACUGGUCUGAGAGGAUGAUCAGUCACACUGGAACUGAGACACGGUCCAGACUUCUACGGGAGGCAGCAGUGGGGAAUAUUGGACAAUGGGCGAAAGCCUGAUCCAGCCAUGCCGCGUGUGUGAAGAAGGUCUUCGGAUUGUAAAGCACUUUAAGUUGGGAGGAAGGGCAGUAAGUUAAUACCUUGCUGUUUUGACGUUACCGACAGAAUAAGCACCGGCUAACUUCGUGCCAGCCGCCGCAGUAACAC
rnacentral:rRNA from 1 species